rnacentral:SRP_RNA from 1 species
GGCGGGCCCCCCCGCUAUGCAUGGUAGUGAACCUGGUCAGGUCCGGAAGGAAGCAGCCAAAGCUAUUCUCUGCAAG